rnacentral:snRNA from 1 species
AGUUUUGCGCAGUGGCGGUAUUGUAGCCAAUGAGGUUUAUCCAAGGCGCGAUUAUUGCUAAUUGGAAAAAAAAAUAAGU